UGGGGUGUAGCACAGAGGUAGAGCACUUGCUUAGCAUGCUCCAGGCCCUGAGUUCAACUCCCAGUACCACAA
rnacentral:tRNA from 1 species